GUUGGUCCAGUGCAGCAGAGAGCAUAAGCUGGUGGAGCUAGCCAGAAGCCUGGCUCAACCAGAAAUGAGAAACCAAAUGACCUUGGGAAAGCCUGGGAUGGGCGAAUACGGCAGCUGCUGUCCGCCGUGGGUGGCUACCCACACACCAUGUCCUGGGACAUUACAGCCUGAGGAGGAAUAGAACGUGCAUGCAUUCCAGAACCUGACCCUUUGCAAAGUUAUAACAGAGACCUACACACAGAACUUCUCUGUCCUGCAGGAAGCGAAUAUUGAGAAUAGCAUUGGGCAUACUCUGAAAUUUGGACUACACAGAUGGUCAGCUGGUCCUCAAGACUGAAAACACACACCAACAUUUAUUUUCUGUAUUUUAUUUAUAGUUUUUAUUUAUUUAUUUAUUUUACUUUGAGCCUUGAAGGCAUUUUAUGAUGAAAUUGUAAUAUAAUGUUGCACUGUUCUCACCCAUGUUGAAUUCCUGAUAUUUGUCAAUUAGGCAUUCCCUCAGCCUCAAGACUGGAAACACAUUAUAUGCACUCACAUCCAUUUUUGCCAUCUUCAUUCUUAUUUUGUGCAUUUUACAUUGUUUGGUUUUGUUGUUUGUUUGGUUUUUUUGCCUUGUUUGCAUUUUAUUAUGAAAAAACAUUGUAAUGUUGCACUGUUACCCUCUUACCUAUGUUGUAUUCCUGAUAUUUUCCUAUUAAACAUCAUCAUCCUUCAACAUUUGCCUUGUCAUUUCAAAUGCAUUCAACACUUUAAUAA